GACGAACGCUGGCGGCGUGCUUAACACAUGCAAGUCGAACGGGCCCGCUCUCUUUUUUGGGGGUGGGUUGAGUGGCGAACGGGUGAGUAUCACGUGAGUAACCUGCCCCCUGCUCCUGGAUAACUGCUUGAAAGGGCGGCUAAUACGGGGUGUGCCGGCUGGUCCGCAUGGGCCUGGUCGGGAUAGUUUCAUCUUCGGGUGUUUCGGUGGGGGAUGGGCUCGCGGCCUAUCAGCUUGUUGGUGGGGUGAUGGCCCACCAAGGCGGUGACGGGUAGCCGGCCUGAGGGGGUGGGCGGCCACACUGGGACUGAGACACGGCCCAGACGCCUGCGGGAGGCAGCAGUGGGGGGUAUUGCACAAGGGGCGGAAGCCUGAUGCAGCGACGGCGCGUGAGGGAUGGAGGCCUUCGGGUUGUGAACCUCUUUCUCCGGUGGUGAAGGCCCUGUCCGUUGCGGCGGGGUUGACGGUAGCCGGGUAUGAAGCGCCGGCUAACUACGUG
rnacentral:rRNA from 1 species